UACGGAGGGUCCGAGCGUUAAUCGGAAUUACUGGGCGUAAAGCGCGCGUAGGCGGUGUGUUAAGUCAGCUGUGAAAGCCCUGGGCUCAACCUGGGAACUGCAGUUGAUACUGGCACACUAGAGUAUGAAAGAGGGAGGUAGAAUUCCAUGUGUAGCGGUGAAAUGCGUAGAUAUAUGGAGGAAUACCAGUGGCGAAGGCGGCCUCCUGGUUCAGUACUGACGCUGAGGUGCGAAAGCGUGGGGAUCAAACAGG
rnacentral:rRNA from 1 species